UGGGGAAUAUUGGACAAUGGGCGAAAGCCUGAUCCAGCCAUGCCGCGUGUGUGAAGAAGGUCUUCGGAUUGUAAAGCACUUUAAGUUGGGAGGAAGGGCAGUAAGCGAAUACCUUGCUGUUUUGACGUUACCGACAGAAUAAGCACCGGCUAACUCUGUGCCAGCAGCCGCGGUAAUACAGAGGGUGCACGCGUUAAUCGGAAUUACUGUGCGUAAAGCGCGCGUAGGUGGUUCGUUAAGUUGAAUGUGAAAGCCCCGGGCUCAACCUGGGAACUGCAUCCAAAACUGGCGAGCUAGAGUAGGGCAGAGGGUGGUGGAAUUUCCUGUGUAGCGGUGAAAUGCGUAGAGAUCUGGAGGAAUACCGAUGGCGAAGGCAGCCAUCUGGCCUAACACUGACGCUGAGGUACGAAAGCAUGGGGAGCAAACAGG
rnacentral:rRNA from 1 species